UAAAUUCUUUGUGAUUUGUGAAUGUUUUUUUUUUUUAGAAUGUCCUGUGACGGGGGCAACAGGGGCUGCGGUUGUGUCUGGUGUUGGUCUUGAUCCAACAUGUUUGUCUGUAAUUAUGAAGUGUUCCUGAAGAUCUUAAUUAGCUGCUUCAGAUAUAUUUGCAGGAAGGAAAAUGGCCGAAAUAGAGAUUAUUCCAGUUGAUGGCACACAUGUGGGGAACCCACCCAGAUUUACCCUAAAGAUAGUAACUGAGCAGACACAUGCAACAGAGCUUGUGGAGAUGUUAACUCGUAGAGGUCACUCUAUUGAGGCUCCAGAUCGCCAUAGUAACUCUGCUGUUACAGAAGAUGAUGACAACGAUCAAGAUUACACAGAUGCAUUACAGAAUAUAUAAAUCUUUGUGUAGAUUAGGACAUUUUUAAUCACAAUAUUUAGUUUACUUCAAUUACUUAAAUGAGAAAUACAUAA